rnacentral:rRNA from 1 species
UACGUAGGAGACGAGCGUUGUCCGGAGUUACUGGGCGUAAAGGGUGCGCAGGUGGCGGCGCGCGUGGGGGGUGAAAUCGCCCGGCUUAACUGGGCGGGGGCCUUCCAGACGGCGUGGCUUGAGCAGCGGAGGGGGACGUGGAAUUCCGGGUGGAGCGGUGAAAUGCGUAGAGAUCCGGAGGAACACCAGUGGCGAAGGCGACACGCUGGGCCGUACCUGACACUGAUGCGCGACAGCAUGGGGAGCAAACAGG